ACCACGAUGGCCGAGUGGUUAAGGCGUUGCACUCAAGUUGCAAAGGACGCAUGUCCUCGUGGGUUCAAAUCCCACUCCUGGUA